AAAUUGAAGAGUUUGAUCAUGGCUCAGAUUGAACGCUGGCGGCAGGCCUAACACAUGCAAGUCGAACGGUAACAGGAAGCAGCUUGCUGCUUCGCUGACGAGUGGCGGACGGGUGAGUAAUGUCUGGGAAACUGCCUGAUGGAGGGGGAUAACUACUGGAAACGGUGGCUAAUACCGCAUAACGUCGCAAGACCAAAGAGGGGGACCUUCGGGCCUCUUGCCAUCAGAUGUGCCCAGAUGGGAUUAGCUUGUUGGUGAGGUAACGGCUCACCAAGGCGACGAUCCCUAGCUGGUCUGAGAGGAUGACCAGCCACACUGGAACUGAGACACGGUCCAGACUCCUACGGGAGGCAGCAGUGGGGAAUAUUGCACAAUGGGCGCAAGCCUGAUGCAGCCAUGCCGCGUGUAUGAAGAAGGCCUUCGGGUUGUAAAGUACUUUCAGCAGGGAGGAAGGUGUUGUGGUUAAUAACCGCAGCAAUUGACGUUACCCGCAGAAGAAGCACCGGCUAACUCCGUGCCAGCAGCCGCGGUAAUACGGAGGGUGCAAGCGUUAAUCGGAAUUACUGGGCGUAAAGCGCACGCAGGCGGUCUGUCAAGUCGGAUGUGAAAUCCCCGGGCUCAACCUGGGAACUGCAUUCGAAACUGGCAGGCUUGAGUCUUGUAGAGGGGGGAGAAUUCCAGGUGUAGCGGUGAAAUGCGUAGAGAUCUGGAGGAAUACCGGUGGCGAAGGCGGCCCCCUGGACAAAGACUGACGCUCAGGUGCGAAAGCGUGGGGAGCAAACAGGAUUAGAUACCCUGGUAGUCCACGCCGUAAACGAUGUCUACUUGGAGGUUGUGCCCUUGAGGCGUGGCUUCCGGAGCUAACGCGUUAAGUAGACCGCCUGGGGAGUACGGCCGCAAGGUUAAAACUCAAAUGAAUUGACGGGGGCCCGCACAAGCGGUGGAGCAUGUGGUUUAAUUCGAUGCAACGCGAAGAACCUUACCUGGUCUUGACAUCCACGGAAGUUUUCAGAGAUGAGAAUGUGCCUUCGGGAACCGUGAGACAGGUGCUGCAUGGCUGUCGUCAGCUCGUGUUGUGAAAUGUUGGGUUAAGUCCCGCAACGAGCGCAACCCUUAUCCUUUGUUGCCAGCGAUUAGGUCGGGAACUCAAAGGAGACUGCCAGUGAUAAACUGGAGGAAGGUGGGGAUGACGUCAAGUCAUCAUGGCCCUUACGACCAGGGCUACACACGUGCUACAAUGGCGCAUACAAAGAGAAGCGACCUCGCGAGAGCAAGCGGACCUCAUAAAGUGCGUCGUAGUCCGGAUUGGAGUCUGCAACUCGACUCCAUGAAGUCGGAAUCGCUAGUAAUCGUGGAUCAGAAUGCCACGGUGAAUACGUUCCCGGGCCUUGUACACACCGCCCGUCACACCAUGGGAGUGGGUUGCAAAAGAAGUAGGUAGCUUAACCUUCGGGAGGGCGCUUACCACUUUGUGAUUCAUGACUGGGGUGAAGUCGUAACAAGGUAACCGUAGGGGAACCUGCGGUUGGAUCACCUCCUUACCUUAAAGAAGC
rnacentral:rRNA from 1 species